GAGUGAUGAUGUUUUAACCUAUUCCAUUUCUGAAAUGAUCUGUGGAAAAAAAAAAAAACUGAACUC